GCAUUCUAGGCCAAGGGGUCACAGUCCACCCUGAACUGUGCCUCCCAGCCUGAAGCCAGAAAGCUCAGGGAGGCUAGCGGCCCUGCCCAGGCCUCAGCACUGACCCUGCACCCCUAGGCCCAGCUGGAUGACCCCUAAGAGCUUCCUGGAAUUUGGAUGCAGGGUUAUUCUGUGUGUGCUGCCUCUCAGAGCAUGUCACUUUGACGUGGACAUCUCGGGUCUGGUUCUGGUGCUGUCCCUGUCUCGCCACGUGACCCUGGAUAAGUCAUCUCUCCAGGCCUUGAUUUCCCCAUCUGUAAACAGAGGUAUGGUUGUGAGGCUGGCAUGGUAGUCCCAUCUGCAGUCCCCUGGGAUGAGGCACCUGUAUGGUAGAGGGCCCGGGUGGAGAGAAGAGAAGGAUGGGGAUGAACCCAGGACCACAGAUGGCCCAGUUCCAUGGAUGAUUUUCAUUGAGGUGCCUUCAAGUCAGUUCAACACUGGGCUUCUCAACCUUUGAGGUAUGCAGGUAAGAGUCACCUGCGGCAGUGGGGGAUGCUCUUGUUAAAGUGCAGACUCCGAUUAAGCAGGUCUAGGGUGGGGCCUGAAAUUCUGUGUUCCUAACAAGGCUCCAUCCUGGGUAUGGAGGUCAGGUACCCCCUCACCUCUCCUGUGGACCCAGCUUUUGAGGGGUCAGGAGAAGAAUGUUCAGUCCCAGCUGCCACCACUCUAAAGUCCCCUAGAAACAAGGACUAAUACAGGUGGCGUGGGAGAGGGCCCAGGCAAACAGGGAGGUGGGGUACCCCGGUGGGGCUGCAGUGGGCCCUGCGGAAAGCUUGCUGGAGGUGGGGGCCUAAGGAAUUCAAGGACUUGUUCCAGGAACCCAAGGAACGAGUGGGCUCUAACUGCUGCAGCAUAUGGGAGAUGCCAGGAGGAGCUGGCUGUGGCAGGCCAUCCCAGUCCAUCAGACAACUUGUAGUGGAUGAAGAUGCAGUGUCCAUGGCCAGAAGAAACUCCCGUGGAUGCUCAGGCCAAGGCUGCCAGAAGCACGAGGAGGGGCAGCAUUGAGUGUCAUCGGGAAAAGGCAAAGUGAUGGUCCUGAAGCUGCCCCAUGUGGCCAGUCCCUUUUUGGGAAGCCUGAAUAAAUCCAUUUCCUGUGCACUGUGUGGGAAGCCAACCCCUCUUCAGAGCACCUCUGAACUCAACAGGAUCCUACACUUCUUAUAGGCCUGGCUUGAUGCUGACAUCCUUCAGCCCCAGGGAAGACCUAAAGAUCUCCAGGUCUUGAGGCACCUGGAACACCUCCACCUGAGACCACUUUAACAUGAUUUCUCUGCUUGAGGGAUUUUGGACCAUGCUGUGUGUAUUCAGCCCUAAAACAUGGGCGAGUGCCCGCUUGCAGUUCAAAUUCUCAGAGGAAGUUCCCUGUACUCCACCCAGUGCCAAGUUUAGUUUGUGCAAAUUUCCUUAAUGUCCCCUCCUGUACAACAGGCUUAUUUGGUGUUAACCCUCAUAUCGGGGGUCUAACUCUUUGCUUUUCCAGCUUUUGUGCUGGAAUAUCCCAUUAAACUGUCCAUGUUGGGUAUUUUUUCUUUGUUAGUAAACAUUUGUUGCAUAUUGUUGAUAGCAUUUUAGAUUUGAAGAAAUAACUGACAAAAUCA
rnacentral:lncRNA from 10 species